UGGGCAACCUGCCCUCAGCUCUGGGAUAACCCCGGGAAACCGGGGCUAAUACCGGAUACGACCUCCGCGGGCAUCUGCGGAGGUGGAAAGGUUUUCCGGCUGAGGAUGGGCCCGCGGCCUAUCAGCUAGUUGGUGGGGUGAUGGCCCACCAAGGCGACGACGGGUAGCCGGCCUGAGAGGGCGACCGGCCACACUGGGACUGAGAUACGGCCCAGACUCCUACGGGAGGCA
rnacentral:rRNA from 1 species